GCUUUAUUAAUAAUAUAAAGUGUUACCUGCCCAGUGGGGUAAUUAUUUAAAUUUUAAAUUUUUAAAUACUAUCUUAAACGGACGCGGUAACUUUGACCGUGAUAAUGUAGCAUAAUUAGUUACCACUUAAUUGGUGGGGUGUAUGAAUGGUGUUACGAAUUUUUCAUUGUCUUAAAUAAAAUUUUUUUUAAAUUAAAGUUAUAGUUAAGAUGCUAUAUAAAAUUGUAAGACGAAAAGACCCUGUAGAGCUUUACUAUUUUCAUUAAAAAUAAUAUAUUUAUAUAAUUAUUUUUUUUUUUUGACAGGUAGUUUAAUUGGGGCGAUUAGUUUUUAUUUUUAAUAAAACUAUGUAAUAAUAAUAUUAUUAUUUAUUGUAUAAUUAAUAUAUUUAACAGUUAUAAAAGUAGAUUAUAAUGACCCGUUUUAAUUUAGUAAAUUUUUUAACGAUAAAUAAAUAAAAGCUACCUCAGGGAUAACAGGAUAAUUUUGUUUUAGAGUUCUAAUCGAUUACAAAGUUUAUCACCUCUAUGUUGAAUUAAGAUACCCAAAUAAAGCAUAAAUUAUUAAUGGUAGGUCUGUUCGACCUUUAAAAUCUU
rnacentral:rRNA from 1 species